GACGAACGCUGGCGGCGUGCCUAAUACAUGCAAGUCGAGCGGACUUAAAAAGAUUGCUUUUUAAGUUAGCGGCGGACGGGUGAGUAACACGUGGGCAACCUGCCUGUAAGACUGGGAUAACUUCGGGAAACCGGAGCUAAUACCGGAUAAUCCUUUUCUACUCAUGUAGAAAAGCUGAAAGACGGUUUACGCUGUCACUUACAGAUGGGCCCGCGGCGCAUUAGCUAGUUGGUGAGGUAACGGCUCACCAAGGCGACGAUGCGUAGCCGACCUGAGAGGGUGAUCGGCCACACUGGGACUGAGACACGGCCCAGACUCCUACGGGAGGCAGCAGUAGGGAAUCUUCCGCAAUGGACGAAAGUCUGACGGAGCAACGCCGCGUGAGUGAUGAAGGUUUUCGGAUCGUAAAACUCUGUUGUUAGGGAAGAACAAGUACGAGAGUAACUGCUCGUACCUUGACGGUACCUAACCAGAAAGCCACGGCUAACUACGUG
rnacentral:rRNA from 1 species